UAAAUGUUGGGCUUUGAUACAUUUUCAAUUUUCCAAUCUCACAUUUAUGGCAUGCAUAAACCAAUAGGGGCUGCCGCUCUCUCCGGAACGCGUCUGAAUAUGAAUUAGCAGUCGGACGGACGGUGGAUUCAAAGAGCCUUGAAUGAUCAGAAAUGGACGUGUGCCUGGACAGUUAUAGAUAGAUCGUCUUUUCACUCUCAGGGACAAGUGAAAGGGACCAGGGGCGUGUCACUGACACAACAAACAAGACCAGUGGAGGCCUACAUCAAAUGUUAUGGACAAUAAACUGAUUCUUAAGAUGGUCAGAUACGUGAAAAGCUGGUUGUCUCUAAGUGAAGGGGAUGCAGUCCAAAUGGGGGUCACUUCAACAGACAUUGAUAGGACGGUACCUAUUCCCACAAUGUGCCACUGCAACAGCUACGGUGCCAAUAUCAACACACGACUCUCUGGUUAUUAUGAAGACCAUGGAUUAGAAAAACUCCUUGGGUGAACGAAAAAGAGAAGAUGUCCCACCUGCUCCAGCCGAAGAUAGGAGGGGCGCACCAGAAAGCAGACCAGACCCAGGAGAAGAUUAUACCUCCCAUGGCCCAUUUAGCAUCAAACUUGACAUUUCCAAAGGGCUUACACACCACCACCCAUCUCUCCCAGGAGAUGACAGCCAGAGACCACAGACCAGCAAUACCUGCAUGAGAUAUACACAUGAGAUAUACACAUGAGAUAUACACAUGAGAUAUACACAUGAGAUAUACACAUGAGAUAUACACAUGAGAUAUACACAUGAGAUAUACACAAAAGGUCCAUUCUGAUUGUCAUUAUGCUAUGGUGUUUUAGCAACAGCCAAUCAGUCUUUAUCAGCGCAAUGUAGAAUUUCCUCCUUAACCCUUGUGUCGUGUUCGGGUCUGUGGGACCCAUUUUCAGUGUUUACUAAAAGAAAAAUGGUACAACUUCUUUUUUUGUCCAACCUGAGACUCAUUGGCCUUGGCUCAUUUUCUGUGAAGAACUUAUAAAAUAACACAUUUUUAUUUUACAUUUACAUUGUUUCUUACUUCAAGGUCUCAGAGCGAGUGACGUCACCGAUUGAAACGCUAUUUAGCGCGAACACCGCUAACUAGCUAGCCGUUUCACAUCCGUUACACUCACCCCACUUUUGACCUCCACCUUUUCCGCAGCAACCAGUGAUCCGGGUCAACAGCAUCAAUGUAACAGUAUAACUUUAGACUUUAGACACGGGCGCGAUCCAGGGACCCUCUGCACACAUCAACAACAGUCACCCUCGAAGCAUCGUUACCCAUCGCUCCACAAAAGCCACGGCCCUUGCAGAGCAAAGGGAACUACUACUUCAAGGUCUCAGAGCAAGUGACGUCACCGAUUGAAACGCUAUUUAGCGCGAACACCGCUAACUAAGCUUGCCGUUUCACAUCCGUUACAUAUGUCUGUGUGUGUCUGACUCUCCUCCCUUGGCCUGCUGUAACUAUAUAUGUGAGUGAGAUGUUAGUAAAAUUCCUGAACUAAGUGUUUUCAUCAUUCUAGAUUGUAGCCGGUAGCAACAAGAAGAAGCUCUGCGAUGUGUGUGGACACAAGGCGGACAGGAAGACACAGUACACAUGCAAGAAAUGCAAGACAUACAUUUGCAACACACACAGUAACACACAUAGUAAAACUCCCUCGUGGUGUGCAGACCGGCCUUAAUUUGUUCUUCAAUGGGGCUCAUUCAUCAUUUCCAUAAAAUGCUGUAUGUAAAAUGUGUCCUUCCAAUUUGUUCAGUUCAAAGCAAUAAACAUCACUAGUGA